rnacentral:SRP_RNA from 1 species
GCUGGGCGUGGUGGCAUGUGCGUGUAGUCCCAGCGACUCAGGAAGCUGAGGUGGAAGGAUCACUUGAGCCCAGGAGUUCUGGGCUGUAGUGCACUAUGCCAGUCGGGUGUCUGCAGUAAGUUCGGCAUCAGUGUGGUGACCACUCGGGAGUGGGGGACCACCAGGUUGCCUAAGGAGGGGUGAACCAGCCCAGGUUGGAAAUGGAGCAGUUCACUCCUGUGCUGAUCAGUAGUGGGAUCGUGCCUAUGAAUAGCUGCAGCACUCCAGCCUGGGCAACACAGCAAGACCCCCAUCUCU